GACAAACGCUGGCGGCAUGCCUAACACAUGCAAGUCGAACGAACGGAACAAACAAGUUUUCUUCGGUAAUAACGGUGGGAAAGCGAGCGGCGGAUGGGUAAGUAACACGUAAGGAACCUUCUACAAAGGAAUAGCUACCAUAAGGAAAAAGUAACACAUACCAAAUAACUAAGCAGACCGGAUGAUAGGGUUUUAAACGGCGUCGGAAGCUUUCGCACAGGAAUGGUCCCGCGGUGAAUUAGCUAGUUGGUAAGGUAAGGGCUUACCAAGGCAACGAUCCAUAGCCGACUUGAGAGACUGAUCGGCCACAUUGGGACUGAGACACGGCCCAAACUCCUACGGGAGGCAGCAGUAGGGAAUCUUCCACAAUGGACGAAAGUCUGAUGGAGCAACGCCGCGUGAGUGAAGAAGGUUUUCGGAUCGUAAAGCUCUGUUGUUGGUGAAGAAGGAUAGUGGUAGUAACUGGCCUUUAUUUGACGGUAAUCAACCAGAAAGUCACGGCUAACUACGUG
rnacentral:rRNA from 1 species